CAAGCAGCCUCACAGUCUUAUUGCCACAGCCACAAGCCACUCUCCGCACCAUAAGUACUGUCACAAACACCACCAUGACUUCUGAAAUAAAGCCUCCCCGCCCCUGGCCCCUGAGCAGCUUCUUGUUGCGGGAUUCCUGCCUAGGUUCCGUUGUCAGUUUAGUCCCCAAAUAACACACAGGACACUGUAUUAAUUAUAAGCUGUUGGCCAUUUGUUAUUGUUUCUCAUUGGCUAGCUCUGACUUAAUUAUUGACCCAUAAUCACUAGUACAGACUUGCGUCCCCUCUUUCCGGGGAUCAGAUGGCGAUGGCUCAGUUCACUACAUUUCCCAAAAUCCUCCUAGACUCCUAGUCCCACCUAUCUUGCUUCCCUAUUGGCCAACAGUGCUUUAUUGACAUAUACACAGGACUUUCCCCAUCAGCUUCUUGCAGAUGUUUUGUCACAAUUACAAGCAAAGAGACUAGUGCAGAGAACUUUCUCCUGCCUUGUCUCCCUCCUCACCUCCUUGGGCCCAGCAAGAGGAAUGGCUUUCCGAGUCAAGCUGUCCAUCCUCUCGGGAGGGGUCAACAUAUGUUUGCAUCACCUACAAACUUGGAUAACAGAUAUUCUGAGAGGAGGCAAAGCCAUCAAUCACUAAGGAAAGUCAAGUUCUAAGAUGCUUCUGGUCUACAUUCUGGUCCACAGCUCCCACCUCAGCCCACCCCAAACCCAUCUGUGGUUGACCCUGCUAGUGAGCCUCAUGCUAAGACCCCUUUAAAUUCCCAACGCUCUCGGAAUAUAGGACAUUAAAAAGAAGUCUCAUGCAUAGUGCUGACGGGAUGGUGAACAAUCAAACGGUGCCCUCUCAAAAACAUGUUUGCAAAUCGGUGGAAACCAGCAUGUGGAACAUUGCAAUUAAAAUAAGGAAAAGGUGAUAGUGAUACCAACUAAAAAGUGCCUAAGUUCCUCUCCCGUAGGAAAUAUUCCAAAGCCAACCCAACUCAUGGGGAAAACUGCUGGCGCUCAUUCUCCCGCGCUGUUCUCCAUAAUUCUCUUAUCCUUUGGGCAUUUUGUGGCUCUGUCUCCUUUUAUAGCACACAGCAGUAGCAGCAGUUGGUACCUUAAAUGUGUGUGAAUUACAUAAAAGGCGAUCCUGAUUAGAGCUGAAGGUUUUAAUUAAAUGAGCAAUUAGCCUUGAGCAUGGAUGUUUAUACAAAAGGAAAAUCAGCUAAUUAAUUUGGAUAAUGACUUGCUCCUGCGAACAUGAGCCUGCCCGGGGCUUAGUGUGGCAAGAGGGGAAGGCCAUGGUGGAGAGAGUGUUUGCACCCUGUGGUUAACAAGUGGGGAAACAGCUGGGGUCAGGCUGGGGUCCCUACCAAGGGAAAGUCACAUGUCAUUAUUAAGUGGCCUGGGACACCUCGACGUCCCCCAGCCCUUCACCCAAGGAACACAAUACAUCUUCCUACCAACUGUCUAGAUCUCCACUGAAGGCUCCAGGACCUCUCCCUGCAGGCACAUCUGAUGCUGAAGCUGCAUGGACCUAGUCACCAAGAGAAAAGCAGCACCGAGAGGCAAAGUGACCGCGGUGGUGGUAAUUGUCAACUCAACAGAACCUGGAAUCAGGUGGGGUGUGGGCCCCUGGGCACGGCUGUGGAGAUCAUAGUGAUUGGGUGAGAAGACUCGUCCACUGUGGGUGGGGCCAUUCCCUGGCUGGGCUCUCCCACUGUGGAUGAAGAGGGUGAUCUGAGAACAGCAACAUAGAUCCCUUUCUCCUUUCCGACUAUGGACACUGUGUAACCAACUGCUUCAAGCUCCUGCUGUCUUGGCAUCUCACUACGAUGGACAGUAUCCUUGAGCUGUGAGCCGAAGCAAGCCCCCUUUCCUUUACAUUUUUGUCAGGUUAUUUUAUCACAGCAACGAGAGAAGAUACUAAGUCACCAUCCAAUCUCUCAGCCAAGACUUAACUCAGGAAUGCGACAAUGUUGGCUGGGCUUGAUUUUGUCAGUUCCUGGGGGAAAACAACCAAGAGACUUGCAAUGGUUCUAGAUUAGUUUCUGCUAAAUCAUUUAAAAUUUGGAACCAAGAAGGGAGUUUUUGUUGGUUUUAUGUUGUUGUUGUUGUUGCUGCUGCUGCUGAUUUGGUUUUGUUUGCUUGGGAGUGAAAUCUCUGUAUUAAUUUGUGUCUCCCUACCCCACUCAUACAAGAAUGGAAAUCGUCCUACUUCCUUGAAAACAGUGUUGUAGCAUGACUGAGGCCAGUGGUAGCCAAUGUUCAAGGCUACCUACCUUGCAGAAGGUUGUCAAAACCACUAAUGCUUGUAUCAAAACACUAAUAAAAGGACAUAUGGACUGUG